UACAUCACAAGAGAAAUUGUUAAAAAAAAAAUGAAUUUAGACUACAUCAUGUUAACUUCAUAUAUUGGAACAUUACAUACUAAUGUAUAUACUAAGCAAAAAAAUAAUUAUUAUAUCAUCAGAAUUAUUAUAUCACUUAAAUAUUAAGAAAUAAUAAAUUAGUAAAAACAAAAGGGCAAUGUUUAUAUAGUAAUAACCAUUUUGAAGUAAACUUCUUGACAAUCUAAAUCACAUAAGUAGCAUUAAAUAAAUAAGGUCAUUCUUUUUAUUGAGCAUCAAAAAAACAAAUCAUGACAAUUCUCUAAACUCUUGAAAAAGUGUAAUAAUUUUGGAAAAAGAUAUUCAGAAACAUAUAUCUACAUCACAAGAGAAAUUAGUUAAAAAAAAAUGAAUUUAGACUACAUCAUGUUAAAUUCAUAUAUUGGAAAAUUACAUACUAAUGUAUAUACUAAGCAAAAAAAUAAUUAUUAAAUUAUCAGAAUUAUUUUCCUCAAGUACGCGAGGUUAAGGAAUAUACCCUCUUAGGAUAGAACAAUUUACUUCAUCAGAAUAGUGGUACCUCAUAUUCUGCUGAACUUUGAACUCACUCAACGAC
rnacentral:lncRNA from 1 species